rnacentral:lncRNA from 1 species
AGUGUGGUGGGGUGCUUUUAUGUUUAAAAUCGUUAUAUAUACAGGUUAGACUGUGAUUUUAAAAACAAAUGUUGAUAUCUUUUUAUAAUAUUUACAAAAAAAAACGGUGCUAGAAAUGGACAUGAUUACAUAUCCGGAUGCGGGAAGCGGGAAUAAAAAAAAAUUAAAAAAUUCUGUUUUGAAAAAUGGGUGCGGGCGGGUCCGUCGAACAAGGAAUCAAAUUGGUGUGGCCUUAUAUCUUUAUUAAACCAUAUGAAGAUGUUUUGUAACUGUCCUAAAAAAAUAGUAUAGAAUGACAAACACAUUAAGGUAGAUCAUAAGUAUAAACUUCUGUGACAGAAUUUAC